CGGGCCUGUCUCUACCCAGGACGUCCCCACACCCUCGCAGUGUCAGGGAAAUGGUCGUGGUGGGGGUAACACUCCCCAGGCAGGACUGUUGAGAGAAGCUGAGUAGGGUCACACUGCAGGCAGGGGCCCGUGUGACAAGCCCCUCUCACCCCGAGAGAGCUGACCAGGCAGCUCACGAGCAGAGCCACAUCCCCGAAGUUUGAGAAAGAUUCUGGCUGGGCUCAGCCUCCUCACUGGCCACAGGCAGCCUUUGUUGUGUGAGCCUUGCUCUCCUGGGGAGGCUGACGGCUGAUGUGGGCAUUGCUGAGAGUAACCUGUGGCCCAGUGGAUGUAGCCAGAUCUACUCAACCUGCACUUAGUACCUAAGUAGGACCCAGGCUGCACGCCCAUCUCCAGCCCAGGGCAGGUCCCCUGUAAGCUGGCUGAGCUACUGAGGCCAAGGCGGGAGGCGGCUGACGACACCCGUGGCCCAUGCGGAGGUGGUGGAAAGGCUGGACUCAGCAGCAACACCAAGCAGAAACCACCCGAGACUGAGGGGCUCAUGCCAGAGCGGUGGACACAGAGUCAGAACAGCCUCUCCCCAGUGGGGAUCGUCUUUCUCUGCCAAAGCAACAGCGGUCCCUGCCCCAACCAGACUGCCCCCCUCAGUAGAGUUAUGGCUGCUGCUCCAGUGCUCACCGAUGCCCUUGGCGAAGUUGGGGUAGAACGCGUCAGUGAAGAGGGGCUCGGGCAGCUCACGGAAGUACAGCUUCAGCGUGCCUGCGAUGGCGUUCACGUCCAUCUCGCUCAUCAUCACCGACAUGUCCUUGUUAUCUGGAAAGAGCACGGAAAUGCAGCGGCCUCCUUCAGGAUCCCAAUAAAACAGUAAAUGAAGAAAAGACGAAAAGAAGGAUGUGACAUGCCCGGGCCACGGAGUGCUCUGAGAUAUCACGGACACCACCACCCACACCUCCAUCCCGUCCUGCGCAGGCCGACACUCACUGACGUCGAAGGCUGCCUUCCAUCUGCACACCCGGAGCCCCAGGAGGACUGUGGACAAAGCCAUGAACAGGUCUGGCCCAGGUCACCUGGAUCUGGCCCCAGGCUGUCCUUCCCUCCAGCCCUCCAGCCAGGCUCUGCAAAGGGGAAGUCAGCAGUUAAUUGGGGUCUGGCAGAACAACUGAGACCUCAAGUCCAGCUGAGCAGAAUGUCAAGGGAGAAGAUGCACAUUUUUGUCAGCGGGUCACUACGGACAUUAAUGAGUGGAACCACUCCAACUCACUCCUUGAUUCCUGGACCAUGAAUUUUGGCUAUGGGAGGAACAGUGCCACAUACUAGCCACUGACAAAAUAUACCCCAUCCUGGAAGACAUAGCCCCAAUCAUACAUGUCCUUGCCACCUCACUGGCAUAGUAAAUGAGUCUUCUAACAGCCAUUAAACCAUUCAUUGAAGCCACAUGCCUCAGAAUGCUGGGGAUGAUGGCAAAACACUUGAAUUCUAUGAGGACGGGCCCAUGGAAGCCCUUCAUUUGCCUUUUUUUUUUUUUUUUUUGAGACGGAGUCUCGCGCUGUCGCCCAGGCUGGAGUGCAGUGGCCGCAUCUCAGCUCACUGCAAGCUCUGCCUCCCCGGGUUCACGCCAUUCUCCUGCCUCAGCCUCCCAAGCCUGCCGCCACCUCACCUGGCUAGUUUUUUGUAUUUUUUUUUAGUAGAGACGGGGUUUCACCAGGUUAGUCGGGAUGGUCUCGAUCUCCUGACCUCGUGAUCUGCCCGUCUGGGCCUCCCAAAGUGCUGGGAUUACAGGCUUGAGCCACCGCGCCCAGCCUCAUUUGCAAAUCAGUUCCUUUAUCAGAGACCCCUGUGGAAUACCGUCACGGUGGCUGAGGCAUUGUGUAGUUCAGGGAUAAUGGUUUUGGCAGAAGCAUUGCAGCCAAAGAAGGCAAAUCCCUCUCUAAAGUAAAUGUCAAUUAUGCUACCAACAAAAGAGCUAUUCCUGCCAUGAUGGAAGAGCUCUAAUGAAAUUUAUCCCAGCCAGAUGCUUUCCUGCUUCCUGCAGAGAAGGGCAUCCUAUAGGGAUCUUCCUGCUGGUCCCUGCUGUUGGCAGAUGGUCACUCAGCAGUGGCAACCUCAGGCCAUGCCCAAGGAAACUGAGACACCAGGCACCAAUGAGCCCUUAACUAGAAAAUGCACCUGCGAGGUUCCUGCUUGUAUCUGCGGGCUGCAGGAAGCAGAGCUCGGGGUGUGUCUCCACCCCUCUCUUCCUCACUCUCUGCACCGGUGUGGGUCCUGACCUCAGGCUCAACCUCCACAGGACCCUAAGCCUGGCCAUGAUCCUGAACUCAGCCUAGAAGUUGCUGACAGUGAGCUGCACAUAUUCGUGAACUUGCAGGCUCUUUGAUCUUCUAAAGUCUCAGCUGCUCCUAACAGAGGUGGCCAUGAGAUACCUGUGCCCCACCUGCUCCAGGAGUAGGGCAGGCUACAGAACAGAGAGAAGGAGCAGGAAUGAAGCCAGGCCAUGUAGAGUGCCAAUACAGGCUCCCACCCCAAUCCCCACAGAUUAUCCAGCUCUAACCUGCGACACGGCCCUGCUGAUCCCACCACCUGCAGGCUGAGGUGAGUGCCUCACGAUGCCCAGGCCAUGAUGGGAGAUGGCAGUGUACCAGGUGGACACAGCCCUGCUGCCAGCCUUACCCUUACACCCCCUCCUUCCCUGCCUUGGUCAAGCCCUGAUCCUCAAAGCAAAUUCAGGACACUUGGAUUAACUCCUGGAUUUGCCAUUGCUUUUCUCUAUUGUCUUGAGCAAUUCAGUCUUUCUGUUCUCAACUUAACUUUCUGAGAAAUGAGAAAGCAUACACUGACUUUAAGGGUUUUUUUCUAAUUCAAUAAUACAGAUAAAAGGGCCCUAUAAAUUAAAGAGAAACUUGAGAGGCAUCUGAAUGAGGGGCAGAGUUCUUAGAAUCCUGUUCUUCCUCAGAGAGAAUCCAGGAAAGAGCCUUGGCCAAGAGCAUGUUUUCUGCAUGAUGGGAGUGGGCUUCGCCUUUCAUCAAAACUCUAGACCAGGCUAUUGUAGAAAUCCUCCCACCAGAAACUCCA
rnacentral:lncRNA from 1 species